rnacentral:rRNA from 1 species
ACGAACGCUGGCGGCGUGGAUUAGGCAUGCAAGUCGGACGGUAGGGCUUUAUCGUAAGAUAGAGUUUGAGAGUGGCGAACGGGUGAGUAACACGUAGGAAUCUACCCUUAAGACGGGGACAACCCAGGGAAACUUGGGCUAAUACCGGAUGAGAGUGCGAGAGAUUGCAUUUAAAAGGAUGGCGAAAGUUGUCGCUUAGGGAUGAGCCUGCGGUCUAUUAGUUAGUUGGUGAGGUAAGAGCUCACCAAGGCGAUGAUAGAUAGGCGGCCUUAACGGGUGGUCGCCCACACUGGGAUUGAGAUACGGCCCAGACUCCUACGGGAGGCAGCAGUCGAGAAUAGUCUACAAUGGCCGGAAGGCUGAUAGUGCGACGCCGCGUGAACGAGGGAGCCCUUCGGGGUGUAAAGUUCUUUUCUAUACGAGCAGUGCUAUAUAUAUGGAUAGUAUAUAUAGAGGGAUAGUAGUAUAGGAAUAAGCAACGGCUAACUCCGUGCCAGCAGCCGCGGUAACACGGGGGUUGCGAGCGUUGUCCGGAAUUACUAGGCGUAAAGGGCAGGUAGGCGGAUCUACGAGUUUUUUGUUAAAGGCUACGGCUCAACUGUAGUAGAGCAGGAGAUACUGUAGGUCUGGAAUGCGGUAGGGGAAGACAGAAUUCCUGGUGUAGCGGUGGAAUGCGCAGAGAUCAGGAGGAAUACCGAAGGCGAAGGCAGUCUUCUAGGCCGUAAUUGACGCUUAACUGCGAAGGUGUGGGGAUCAAACAGGAUUAGAUACCCUGGUAGUCCACACAGUAAACGAUAAUCACUAGAUGUCGGGUUCUAGAUGGAUUCGGUGUCGGAGCUAACGCGAUAAGUGAUUCGCCUGGGGAGUACGAUCGCAAGGUUGAAACUCAAAGGAAUUGACGGGGGCCCGCACAAGCGGUGGAGCAUGUGGUUUAAUUCGAUGCAACGCGAAGAACCUUACCUAGGCUUGAAAUGCAGGUUAAACUCACUGAAAAGUGAGGUGUCGCAAGACGAACCUGCACAGAUGCUGCAUGGCUGUCGUCAGCUCGUGCCGUGAGGUGUUGGGUUAAGUCCCGCAACGAGCGCAACCCCUGUUCUUAGUUGCCAUCAGGUAAUGCUGGGCACUCUAAGAAGACUGCCUACGCAAGUAGUGAGGAAGGUGGGGACGACGUCAAGUCCGUAUGGCUCUUACGCCUAGGGCUACACACGUGCUACAAUGGCUACUACAAAGGGCUGCAAUACCGCGAGGUGGAGCCAAUCCCUAAAAAGUAGUCUCAGUUCGGAUUGGAGUCUGCAACUCGACUCCAUGAAGCUGGAAUUGCUAGUAAUCGCGCAUCAGCACGGCGCGGUGAAUACGUUCCCGGGCCUUGCACACACCGCCCGUCAAG